rnacentral:rRNA from 1 species
GCUGGCGACCGGCGCACGGGUGAGUAACGCGUAUCCAACUUCCCCCCACGUAGGGCAUAGCCCGGCGAAAGUCGGAUUAAUACCCUAUGUUGUGUCAUGAGGACAUCUGAAUAACACCAAAGAUUUAUCGCUGGGGGGAUGGGGAUGCGUCCGAUUAGGUUGUUGGCGGGGUAACGGCCCACCAAGCCCGCGAUCGGUAGGGGUUCUGAGAGGAAGGUCCCCCACACUGGUACUGAGACACGGACCAGACUCCUACGGGAGGCAGCAGUGAGGAAUAUUGGUCAAUGGGCGAGAGCCUGAACCAGCCAAGUAGCGUGCAGGACGACGGCCCUAUGGGUUGUAAACUGCUUUUAUGCGGGGAUAAAGUGAGGUAUGUAUACCUUUUUGUAGGUACCGCAUGAAUAAGGACCGGCUAAUUCCGUGCCAGCCGCUGC